rnacentral:rRNA from 1 species
GUUAGGAAUAUUCGUCAAUGGGGGAAACCCUGAACGAGCAAUGCCGCGUGAGUGAUGAAGGUCCUUUGGAUUGUAAAACUCUGUUGCAUGGGAAGAACGGUCAGACUAGGAAAUGAGUCUGAAGUGACGGUACCAUGCCAGAAAGCUCCGGCUAACUACGUGCCAGCAGCCGCGGUAAUACGUAGGGAGCGAGCGUUAUCCGGAUUUAUUGGGCGUAAAGGGUGCGUAGGCGGCUUGUUAAGUAUGAAAUUAAAGCCCGGGGCUUAACUCCGGUUCGUUUCAUAAACUGGCUAGCUUGAGUAUGGAAGAGGUAAACGGAAUUUCUAGUGUAGCGGUGGAAUGCGUAGAUAUUAGAAGGAACACCAGUGGCGAAGGCGGUUUACUGGGCCAUUACUGACGCUGAGGCACGAAAGCGUGGGGAGCAAAUAGGAUUAGAUACCCCUGUAGUCC